UUCCAGAAGCGCAAGUUUCCGAGUAUUUGAUUUAAUGCGGCCAUAGUCGGUCACAAGCCCGAUUGAGAAACGCAGAGUGAGUC
rnacentral:ribozyme from 1 species